AGUCCCAGUUCGGAUUGUAGUCUGCAACUCGACUACAUGAAGCUGGAAUCGCUAGUAAUCGCGGAUCAGCAUGCCGCGGUGAAUACGUUCCCGGGCCUUGUACACACCGCCCGUCACACCAUGAGAGCCGGGAACACCCGAAGUCCGUAGUCUAACCGCAAGGAGGACGCGGCCGAAGGUGGGUUUGGUAAUUGGGGUGAAGUCGUAACAAGGUAGC
rnacentral:rRNA from 1 species